CAAAGAGUCCAGGAGAGAUUAGGGUUUCGGCGAAGAGAUCUCUGGUUGAGGAUCACCGGCGGCGGCGAAGGGAGUUGGAUCGGCGGUGAGCGACGACGGACGGUAGCUGCAUAGGUCUAAAAGCGGAGGACAUUUGGAGCGACGACGGACGGCGGCUGCACGGGUCUGAAAGAGGAGAAGGAGACGGAGAGAGUUAGGGCUUGGAUUAAUCGGUGUUGUCUGUAGUGAGAGAUAUUGGAGUUGGGAGAGAUCGAAAGGUUUUCCUGCAGGUCAUCGUGGGACUGUGGAUUGUUUCGUACAUUGGAAGUUCGUUUAGUAUCUUCACUCUUAUUUACAUCGGAGCUUAGAUUUCGGCAUUUUCAUGAUGAGAUACAUAUAUUCCAUCAUCAAUGACACACCACCAUUCAUUCAUCAGGCUGAUUGUGAACUUCUACGAGCAAAGAUCGCUAUUGCCUUUAUCUCGAAGAAAGCAGAAAAUCUGCUAGAAUAUGCUUUUACUCAGGAAGUAGACUCUGAAUAUAUAUGUCUUGGAUGUUCUGAAUGUUGAAGUUGUACAGGAGCUUAGAUCUGUGUACUUGGCAGAUUCAUUUUGUGUUGAUUGGUGUAUUCAUUUUGUGUUGAUUGUGUACUUGGCAGAUUCAUUUUGUGUUGAUAGUGUAGCUUAGAUCUGUGCAGGAGCAUAGGGUGUUGAUUUUUGUAGUGGUGUUGUGUAUUUGUUGUUUCAUGCUGUAAUUAUGUUCUUAUUGUUAAAAU